UGUGUGUUGGAGGAUGAAAACUUUGAGUGAUCCAUCGGCUAAGUGACCUGUCACAGUGCUGAGACUCAAAACUGCUGACAACACACU
rfam:Ornithorhynchus anatinus chromosome 11, whole genome shotgun sequence.